rnacentral:tRNA from 1 species
AAUAAAAUGGCUGAAUCUUUAUUAAGCGAUAGAUUGUAAAUCUUUUUAUGAGUCUUCCUCUUUUAUUA